rnacentral:rRNA from 1 species
GAUGAACGCUGGCGGCGUGCCUAACACAUGCAAGUCGAACGGGAACUUUGGAAUGAAGGUUCGCUGGAUUUCCAAAUAUUCUAGUGGCGGACGGGUGAGUAACGCGUGGGUAACCUGGCCUUAAGAGGAGAAUAACAGUGAGAAAUCACUGCUAAUACACCAUAUGCUUACAGUAUCGCAUGAUACGGUGAGGAAAGGAUUUAUCGCUUAGGGAUGGACCCGCGUUUGAUUAGCCAGUUGGCAGGGUAACGGCCUACCAAAGCAACGAUCAAUAGCCGGCCUGAGAGGGUGAACGGCCACAUUGGAACUGAGACACGGUCCAAACUCC